UGAGUGCGAGCUGCUACGGCAGCGAAGUGGGUGAUGUCAAGCUUCCAAGAAAAGCCCUAGACCCGUUAAGGCAUGAUUGCCUGUACCCGAAACCGACACAGGUGGGGUGGUAGAGAAUACCGAGGGGCGCGAGGUAACUCUCUCUAAGGAACUCGGCAAAAUGGCCCCGUAACUUCGGGAGAAGGGGUGCCAGCGAGAGCUGGUCGCAGUGAAGAGGCCCAGGCGACUGUUUACCAAAAACACAGGUCUCCGCUAAGUCGCAAGACGAUGUAUGGGGGCUGACGCCUGCCCAGUGCCGGAAGGUUAAGGAAGCUGGUCAGCGCAAGCGAAGCUGGCGACUGAAGCCCCGGUGAACGGCGGCCGUAACGAUAACGGUCCUAAGGUAGCGAAAUUCCUUGUCGGGUAAGUUCCGACCCGCACGAAAGGCGUAACGAUCUGGGCGCUGUCUCGGAGACAGGCUCGGCGAAAUAGAAUUGUCUGUGAAGAUGCGGACUACGUGCACCCGGACAGAAAGACCCUAUGAAGCUUUACUGUAGCUUGGUAUUGUGCUCGGGCUCGGAAUGCGCAGGAUAGGUGGGAGGCAUUGAUCCAUUGCUUGCGGGUGAUGGUGAGCCACUGGUGAGAUACCACUCUUUUCGAGCUUAAGUUCUAACGGCCACCCGUUAUCCGGGGGCCGGACAGUAUCAGGUGGGCAGUUUGACUGGGGCGGUCGCCUCCUAAAAGGUAACGGAGGCGCGCAAAGGUCUGCUCAGGCUGGUUGGAAAUCAGCCGACGAGUGUAAAAGCAGAAGCAGGCUUGACUGUGAGACCUACAAGUCGAACAGGGAGGAAACUCGGCUUUAGUGAUCCGAGGGUUCUGCGUGGAAGGGCCGUCGCUCAACGGAUAAAAGUUACUCUAGGAUAACAGGCUGAUCUCCCCCAAGAGUUCACAUCGACGGGGAGGUUUGGCACCUCGAUGUCGGCUCAUCGCAACCUGGGGCUGAAGUCGGUCCCAAGGGUUGGGCUGUUCGCCCAUUAAAGCGGUACGCGAGCUGGGUUCAGAACGUCGUGAGACAGUUCGGUCCAUAUCCGGUGCACGCGCAGGAAUAUUGAGAGGAUUUCUCCCUAGUACGAGAGGACCGGGAGGAACGCACCUCUGGUGUGCCAGUUAUCGUGCCAACGGUAAACGCUGGGUAGCCAUGUGCGGAGAGGAUAACCGCUGAAAGCAUCUAAGUGGGAAGCCCACCUCAAGAUGAGUAUUCCCAUGGCGUUAAGCCAGUAAGGUCACGGGAAGAACACCCGUUGAUAGGCUCUAUGUGGAAGCGCAGUAAUGCGUGAAGCAGAGGAGUACUAAUAGACCGAGGGCUUGACC
rnacentral:rRNA from 1 species